UCGUAACAAGGUCUCCGUUGGUGAACCAGCGGAGGGAUCAUUACCGAGUUUACAACUCCCAAACCCCUGUGAACAUACCAAUUGUUGCCUCGGCGGAUCAGCCCGCUCCCGGUAAAACGGGACGGCCCGCCAGAGGACCCCUAAACUCUGUUUCUAUAUGUAACUUCUGAGUAAAACCAUAAAUAAAUCAAAACUUUCAACAACGGAUCUCUUGGUUCUGGCAUCGAUGAAGAACGCAGCAAAAUGCGAUAAGUAAUGUGAAUUGCAGAAUUCAGUGAAUCAUCGAAUCUUUGAACGCACAUUGCGCCCGCCAGUAUUCUGGCGGGCAUGCCUGUUCGAGCGUCAUUUCAACCCUCAAGCCCCCGGGUUUGGUGUUGGGGAUCGGCGAGCCCUUGCGGCAAGCCGGCCCCGAAAUCUAGUGGCGGUCUCGCUGCAGCUUCCAUUGCGUAGUAGUAAAACCCUCGCAACUGGUACGCGGCGCGGCCAAGCCGUUAAACCCCCAACUUCUGAAUGUUGACCUCGGAUCAGGUAGGAAUACCCGCUGAACCUAAGCAUAUC
rnacentral:misc_RNA from 1 species